AAGGAACUGUUGUGAAGCAGUUACACUUUGUUGCAGUAAAUUAGUGGAGCAAAACACAAAUGAAACACAAAUGCCUCUUCUCGAUUGAGGUAAUUCUGACAACCUCUUUGUAUGUCUAUGUCCCUAAUGAAAAUGAGACUGUCCCUGUUCGGUAAAUUCUUUGGUUCCUAGUCACUGAGCUGAAGCAAAUGCCUCGUGUUGGUAUGCUGAAAGUCCCUAUCCUUGUUCCUGAUGAAAGAAUGAAAGCAAAUGCCUCGUGUUGGUCCCUGUCCCAAAUGAUAAAAGAGAUUGUCCCAUAAUGGAAAAUUUCUCGGGUUCCUAGUCACUGAGCUGAAGCAAAUGCCUUGUGUUGGUAUGCUGAAAGUCCCUAUCCUUGUCCCUAAUGGAAGAAUGAAAGCAAAUCCCUCGCGUUGGUCGAGGUAAUCUAAAUUACCUCUAUGAAUGUCCCUGUCCCAAAUGAUAAAAAAGAUUGUCCCAUAUCGG
rnacentral:lncRNA from 1 species